rnacentral:tRNA from 1 species
UCCCUGGUGGCUUAGAGGGUAAAGCAUCUGCCUGCAAUGCAGGAGACCCGAGUUCAAUCCCUGGGUUGGGAA